rnacentral:pre_miRNA from 1 species
UAGAUACUACCUCCGUCCCAUAAUAUAGCAAGUUUUGCUAGGAUGGGACACAUCCUAGUACUACGAAUCUGGACAUAAGGCAUGUCCAGAUUCGUAGUACUAGGAUGUGUCCCAUCCUAGCAAAACUUGCUAUAUUAUGGGACGGAGGUAGUACAAU